UUGAAACACCAGUUUCCUGUAUGAUCACUUAAGUUAAGCAAUGUUGAGUCUGGUCAGUACCCAGAUGGGUGACUGCUUGGGAGUACCAGCUGCUGUA